AUUCAACGCCGGCGCACGUCGCUCUCUCUCAGCGUCUUUACACUCGCGGCGUUUACGAAUUAUAUUUUAAAGGCCAAAGUAAUUGCCUAAAUUUUAAAAUCAGUACUAGUGAGGUACGGUUGAUAAUGAAAGUUAGAGCCUGUGUAACCCCUUUGGGGUGCUAUGGUACGGGUGAUCACCGGCCAUGAGACCACCAUCACGCUGACUCCAAGGACCUGGUGCUGACCCUGGCAGUCACGGCUGACGUUCUUCAGCACUCCGUCACUUCACCUACAUAGCGGAGCCAGGGAAGUACUAGCGUGUGGGCUACAGCUGCUUUCUUAAUCCGGGAGUAAAAUUAAUCAGACGGUUAACGGACUUUGACCCUUCGACGAUUGUUUCGAAUGCUUGCGACGGUUUAAGCGGAAUAAAUUUGUGAAGUGAGA